UAUUUAUUUACAGUUUAUAGAUUACAGGCUAGUUCCCAACUUGGGGAAAAUCGUUUAGUAUAUUACAAAGGAUUGGACUCUACGUGGCUCACUUAAUGCCUUCACUCAAGUGUAGGCACAUUAGUCAAUAAGAGAGAAAAUUCAAAAGUAGGGAAAUUAGAUGAAAGAGCCGACCACCAAACUUCCCACUAACUCCACUCCACCAACUCCACUCAAUUAUUCAUUCCCUUUAUACUAUCAGCCACCACCCUUUGCUCCCCACCCAACAAAUGCAAUAUUCACUCUCAUUUCAUUUUCAUCCAAAAGUUCAGAGGAUCAGUUCCAGUUCAUUUCAGCCGAAGCUCUCAAGGUAAGGCUUGGCUUCAAUGCUUUCUUCUCCUUUGAUUAAGUUCAUCCUGCAAUUGUUAAGCAAAUAAGCAAUUUAUUUCAGUUUCUAUCCACUGAUUCAAUAGCAACAAACAACCACCAACAACAAGCAAUUACAGGUCAAGCGCGAGAGUAAGAACUACACAAGGAGUUAGAGUACCUUAGCAAAACUUUGCUAUCAGGUUGAGCUGUGAUGGGCGAUGAAGUGUUGUUGCUGAGUGGAGUUUUUGUCGAACUUAAAGUAGGCUCAGAAAGGAUACAUGUCUUCAUACAUGUAUCUCAGUUAUGCAUUCCGCUGUAAACACUGAUUAUUUCAGUUACGCCUUCCGUUGCAAACUCUGAUAAUGUUUUAGCCAAGCCCCUAACGAUGCCUUUUUCCUUUUAAGGAAUAUAACGCGUAUACAAGUUCUUUGAGUACCCUUUUUAUGCGAACUAUGCCUUUUUCCUUUUUAAGGAAUAUUUCACGCGUAUUCAA